rnacentral:rRNA from 1 species
GAUGAACGCUGGCGGCGUGCCUAAUACAUGCAAGUCGAGCGAAUGGAUUAAGAGCUUGCUCUUAUGAAGUUAGCGGCGGACGGGUGAGUAACACGUGGGUAACCUGCCCAUAAGACUGGGAUAACUCCGGGAAACCGGGGCUAAUACCGGAUAACAUUUUGAACCGCAUGGUUCGAAAUUGAAAGGCGGCUUCGGCUGUCACUUAUGGAUGGACCCGCGUCGCAUUAGCUAGUUGGUGAGGUAACGGCUCACCAAGGCAACGAUGCGUAGCCGACCUGAGAGGGUGAUCGGCCACACUGGGACUGAGACACGGCCCAGACUCCUACGGGAGGCAGCAGUGGGGAAUCUUCCGCAAUGGACGAAAGUCUGACGGAGCAACGCCGCGUGAGUGACGAAGGCUUUCGGGUCGUAAAGCUCUGUUGUUAGGGAAGAACAAGUGCUAGUUGAAUAAGCUGGCACCUUGACGGUACCUAACCAGAAAGCCACGGCUAACUACGUGCCAGCAGCCGCUGUAA